rnacentral:lncRNA from 1 species
AAUUAACAACAACUCCACAAUUUUGAGUUCUUCUCAUUCUCUCGCGAUACUUUGUAUGAAAUCUGUAUCCAUUGAUGAGAAAGGCACUAUAUCUUUUUAUUACUCUGUUCGGACCUUGGGAAAGCCACUUAACUUCGUCAUUGACGUCCUUUCCACUCCAAACUUAUUGAAUUGAAAGUAAAUUGAAUAAUUAACUAAAUUUCUUGAUUAUAUGUAACUUAUUAACUUUAGUUACAUACCGUUUGGCUUAACUAUUCAUGAAAAGAUUU